rnacentral:rRNA from 1 species
GCUCGUGUCGUGAGAUGUUGGGUUAAGUCCCGCAACGAGCGCAACCCCUGCAUCCAGUUGCCAUCGGGCGAGCCGGGCACUCUGGAGGGACUGCCGGCGACAAGCCGGAGGAAGGUGGGGAUGAUGUCAAGUCAUCAUGGCCCUUAUGUCCAGGGCGACACACGUGCUACAAUGGCCGGCACAGCGGGAAGCGGAGGGGCGACCCUGAGCGGAUCCCUUGAAAGCCGGUCCCAGUUCGGAUUGCAGUCUGCAACUCGACUGCAUGAAGUUGGAAUCGCUAGUAAUCGCGGAUCAGCCAAGCCGCGGUGAAUACGUUCCCGGGCCUU